CAUCUAAGAGGGAAGCCAGCUUUAAGAUUAGGAAUCGUUAAGAACCGUGAGAGAUGAUCACGUUGAUAGGCUUUAAGUGUAAGGCGAGUAAUCGCUUGAGCUGAGAAGUACUAAUGUUUCGAUU
rnacentral:rRNA from 1 species